rnacentral:lncRNA from 1 species
GGGGUGGAGGAAGGGUGGAGAUUAGUAGGGAAAAAAGUGUCACUAACUGGUGCCUCUUUAAAUGAACCCAAAUCCUCAUGGAUCCUAAUCGGGUUUUUUAAACCUCUGAGCCACGAAGGGAACUCCUGUGUUUUCUUUAUCUUGGUAAACUUCCUUGGUGAGUGAUCAAUGAUUUUAGACUAUUUUGUUGAGCACUUGGCAAAUACAUCACUAAUCUUUUUCAUAUUAACGUUAAAAUCUAGUUUAACCGGUUAGCUUUAUAUUCCGUUUUCUUCCUUUGUCUGUGAUGGGUGCAGUAGUGAGCGGUGACGUGAUAUCAAGACGUUUCCCUCAGGUCCCUCCUAACUGUCCUCUUCACGUGAUGAGCGAUGGGCUGGAUGGACCGGAACCUUCUGCUCAUCAUGAAGAAAUUUGCCCAGAGCUUAUUUCUUUUUUUUUCUUUCCUUUCUUUCUUUUUCCUAUUUCUUGGGCUGCUGCCAAGGCAUAUGGAGGUUCCCAGGAUAGGGGUCUAAUCGGAGCUGUAGCCACCGGCCUACGCCAGAGCCACAGCAACUCGGGGAUCCGAGCCACAUCUGCAACCUACACCACGGCUCACGGCAACGCUGGAUCCUUAACCCACUGAGCCAGGGCAGGGGUCAAACCCACAACCUCAUGGUUCCUAGUCGGAUUCGUUAACCACUGCGCCAUGACGGGAACUCCUCUUUUCUUUCUUUUUUUUUUUGCAUUUUAGGGCUGCGAGGCAGCAUAUGGAAGGUCCCAGGCUAGGGGUCAAAUGAGAGCUGCAGCUCUUGCCCUACACCACAGCCACAGCAGGGAGGGAUCCAAGCUGUGUCUGCACUUACACCAGUUAGAGCUUAUUUCUAAGCUGACUCCUUACAGUGUUUCCUGCACCCGUGGAUAUAAUGUUGCAAUUCUGUAUUUUGAUUUUUUAAAAUUUUAUUUAUUUAUUUAUUUAUUUAUUUUUGUCUUUUUUUGCACCACACCUUUGGCAUAUGGAAGUUCCCAGGAUAGGGGUCAAGUUGGAACUGCAGCCCCCGGCCUACACCAUAGCCGCAGCAAGGGAUCUGAGCCACAUCUGUGGCCUCAUAACAGCUCACGGCAAUGCCAGAUCCUUAACCUACUGAGCAAGGCCAGGAAUGGAACCUGCAUCCUCAUGACUACUAUCGGGUUCCUUAAGGCUAAACCACGAUGGGAACGCCAGACAGAUCCCAUUAGAGAAUUCAGGCACACCUGAUUUCUGUUCCCCCUUCGCAAACUGCCUCAUGAAUGUCUCCCAUGUGGGCCACAGGGAGCCCCCUUGUAACAUGGAGAUGAGAGGACAGAGCAGCAACGCCUUCUGAGCAGCACUGACCCCUGAAAGGAUUGGCCUAAUUGGGUGUGUGUUUGUUUGGGGCACUUCUCUUUGGAGUUAGAGUUUUAAAGGGGUCCUCGUCCUCCCAGCAGGAAGGAGAAGAGCAGAAAGGCUGCCGUGGAGGCAGGACUAUAGGCUCGGAGUAAGAGAGACCAGAACGAGUGUCUCCUGCAAACCCGAAGGGAGUCGACGUGUUUCCUGAUGCCCAGACCUCCGCAGGCUCUUCUUGGGCCUCAGGACAGACCCCGACUCCUCCCUGUGGUGGCACAGCCCUGUGUCGCCCUCAGGGCCCUGCCUGUGUCUGCAGCCCCGUCCUGGGAGCAGACCCAGUGCUGCGGGUUCACUGCCCGGGGCACAGUCUCCUUGUCUGUCUCAGCUCUUCGUUCCUCUUCUUCCCCUUUGCCUUUCAGGCACCAGGGCUCAGGCCCUUUGUCGCCCUUCAGAUCUCGGCUCAGAGAGGUCCCCUGUCCUCCUGACAGUCUCUGCUGCCACCUUCAGUGUGUUUGAUGGCCAGUAUAUCAACCCCUGUCAUCAGAAAUUCCUGUCUCUGUGGAUUAUUGACUCUUUUCCGUCUGUUCUGUUGUCCCUCCAUUGAAGGGAGCCCAGUGUCCCUGCUCCUCCCAGGGGGGCUGCAGCAUCUCCCUCUGGGGAUGCAUUUAUCUUUAUUUAUUUACUUUUUUUGAAUAAUUUCACGGUUGAGGGGAAUUUUGUUGUUGUUGUUGUUUUUGUCUUUUUGCCUUUUCUAGGGCCGCCUCCCGAGCAUAUGGAGGUUCCCAGGCUAGGGGUCUAAUUGGAGCUGUAGCCAUCGGCCUACACCACAGCCACAGCAACGUGGGAUCCCAGCUGUGUCUGCAACCUACACCACAGCUCACGGCAACGCCAGAUCCUUAGCCCACUGAGCAAGGCAGGGAACGAACCCGCAUCCUCAGUGGAUUCGUUAACCACUGAGCCACGACGGGAACUCCGAGGGGAAGGUAUUUUUAUCUUUUAGGUUUUUAUGGCUGAACUUGUGCUAUAUGGAGGUGCCCAGGCUAGGGAUGGAAUCUGAGCUACAGCUGCCAGCCUACAUCUCAGCCACUGUGACACCAGAUCCGAGCCUCAUCUGCGACAUACACCAUAGCUCUCACCAACGCCAGAUCUCCAACCCACCAAGCAAGGCCGGGGAACGAACCCGUGUCCUCAUGGAUACCAGUCCGGAUCAUUACCACUGAGCUGCAAUGGAAGCUCCUGGGGAUGUGCUUAAAUUCUGGGGCUGUGGUGGGGCUGAGUCAUCCUCCUAGAAGAGCAAGGAAGGAGGACAAGCAAGGAGGAUCAUUCCCAUGUUUGAUCUAAUUGGAUUUUUUGUCUUUUUAGGGCCUCACCUGCAGUAUAUGGUGGUUCUCGGGCUAGGGGUCCAAUCGAAGCCGUAGCUGCCAGCCUACGCCAGAGCCACAGCACCUCCAGAUCCGAGCCGCGUCUGUGACCUCCGCCAUAGCUCAUGGCAACGCCUGAUCCUUAACCUACUGAGUGAGGCCAGGGAUCGAUCCUGUGUCCUCGUG